rnacentral:rRNA from 1 species
UACGGAGGGUGCGAGCGUUGUCCGGAAUCACUGGGCGUAAAGGGCGCGUAGGCGGCCUGGUAAGUAGGGGGUGAAAUCCUGCGGCUUAACCGCAGGGCUGCCUUCUAAACUGUCAGGCUCGAGCACGGUAGAGGCAGAUGGAAUUCCCGGUGUAGCGGUGGAAUGCGUAGAGAUCGGGAAGAACAUCAGUGGCGAAGGCGGUCUGCUGGGCCGUUGCUGACGCUGAGGCGCGACAGCGUGGGGAGCAAACAGGG